AAAAGAAUGGUAUUUGAUAUUUUGAUUCUUCAGUUACACUCAGCAUUCCCAACCUUCUCACCUUUUUCAUCUUCUUCCUUUUUUCCAUGGUAGAUAAUUUGUCUAUCUCAUACUAUUGGUAAGAAGUAUUGCGGUAUCAUUAUUGCAUUCAACACAUUGAAUCGAUUUAACUCUCAUAGUAAGUGUUUCUAAACAACUUACUAUUGAAUCAAUGUGUUGCUAAAAAGUAUUAUCGACCUUCAAGUAGAAAGAACAUAACAUUACAUGCAAAUACAAAAUAUCAUCUUUGCUUACCAAGUUUACACUCAACCAAUGUGAGAGAAUCGACACCAUCUUUUCUAUUAAGCAUUUUCAAUGUCAUGAACAACAUUUCUCCCCCAGCUAUGGUAAGUAUGCCUGCUCUAAAAUAGCUUUGCAUCAAAAUUUGUCAACACCCCGUAGCUCCUUUGCAAUCCUUAUGCAUUCCGCCAUGGGACAAUUUGUCUUGAUUGCGUUGGAAGCAAUGUGCGACCGACUAACAGCAUAGCCCUCCUCGAGGAGGGUGGUCAUCAUGGUCUUCAACGGAGGUGAAUUAAUUUUUGCACGGCUUGCCAUCUCAUCCAUUUUAAUGUAGCCAAAAGGUAAACUGGGGUCACUUUCAUCUAACAUCCGUCUCAAAAGUUUAUCCAGAUCAGCUCCUGCACUGUUUCCCAUCCAUCCCCAUUGCUCAGCUAAAUUUAACAUUUCUGUGAUGAAGGUAGCACUAUGAAGAGGUCCUGUCCAUAGGGGUCCUGAAACAGUAACCGGACUACAAACCUUAUUGCUGCUGCAAGAACAACUAAUUUGACCAAGCUCUUCCCAUGAAAAUGAUCGAGUAUUUCCACAUUGGUUGCAGUAGCUGAUGAACCCAUAAUGCCUGUUCUCAUGUUCCUUCCCUCGAUUUACUUGGAGCAUGACCCUAAAAACUGGUCCAUGAUACGAAUAGUAUGAAAAAAGAGGGGUGACAUGAUAGCCCAGCAGAGAUGCCUCCCGCACAGCCCCACCUAUAAGCAUUCGCAAACCAAUCUCAUUGGAACAAGGCAUAGGGCGUACAUAUGCUCCAUAUGCAGCUAAGGAACAAUAAGGCCGGUGACCACCUGAAGAGUACCCAUCAGUGGAAGUAAGAUAAAGCAAUCCAUUCAAUUUCAAAGUACUCAUUGCAGACCUCAAAAACAAAGAAUCACUCCCAAACGAAUCGAUAUCAAUCAAGUCGAAAAAAUCCCUCUGCAAGUAACAUUCCGUCAAGACUCUAUUUGCAUCAAAAUGCGAAACAGCCCAUCUCCUCGCAUCGCCAAAGCCCCUCUCCACUUUCUUCAAAUUCCCCACAAUAACUCCUCUGUACUCGUCAUUUGCGUCAUUUGCCAACACAAAAUCCGCUUUGGCUUCGAGUAAAUAGCGACAAGACCGGAUUCCACAGCCACACAUUGCGUCCAGGACCCGUAAUCUUCCUUUUGAUUGCUUGUAGAGAGCUGCGGCCAGAACCCCCAAGUCCCGGCCUUUUGCACUUUCAUGGCGAAAGAAAGUCUCUCCCGUCUCGAACUCGAUACCCCUUUCGGUUUGGCGCUCGCAUAUGCAAUGAAAUUGGUAAACUUGGGGUUUAAAGCUUCGAAAUUUGGGGUUCGGAUUAGGGUUUUGGGGUUUUCGAAGAAAUGGAGAAGGGGAUAGGGUUUUAGGGGUGACAAUUGACAUGGCGGGAAAAUUGAAGGAUCGGGUGAUUUUAGCAGAGUUAAGUUAUUUGGCUAUAUAAAAGAACGGUCCAGAUGCUUUUGAUCAUCUUUUGAUCAAAAGAUUUGACAUCCAUCCAGAUUUUGCCACGUCAUGAUCAAUCCCACUUUGGAGGUGUUUUAGAGUUGUUGGGUAACGUUUGGUGGUUGAGAGGCGUUAAGGUUUAUCUCGCUUCUGGGUUUUGUGUCUGGAGUCCCGUUGUGAGGGUUUUAGGGGUUUUUUAGUUUUAAAAUACUUCCUUUUUUUCUUCGACUAUGAUAAAGAUGGUGCCUUUGUGCCUGCUUCAGUCUCCUGAAACCAACAGAUAUUUGAAAAUUAAGCAAAAUAGCAAGGCAAAGCAAAAGAUGAGAGCCAAGCCAGUUUGUCACUCGUUUAGGAAAGUUCCUGUGUAGCACAAUGGUUGCAAUAUACAGUGAUUGGUAAUCACAAUGGUUAUUCAACUGAACCGCAGAGCAGGCUUUAAUUGAUCUGUGUUUGCGGCAUCAUAAUCAACUUACUUUUUGGAAAGAGUCAGUUGAGGAAAUAUCAAUGGGGCAUUGCAGUGGUGAGGGAUCCUGAAGUUUCUUUUUCAGGAACUGAAAAUUCAGCUCUUCUUUUUAUUAUGGGAGAUCUUCAAGGGAGUUUGUCUCCUUGCUCCUCUUCCAUCUCUUCACUUGAUCUAUACCCCUUGUCAAUUGAUCCUGAGCUAUGGUUAAUGGCUGAGCAAAGGACCCAAGAGAUACUUUGGAUUAUUCAACCUGCUAUGGCUUCUGAGCAGAAGAGGAAGGAGGUUAUUGAUUAUAUUCAGAGGUUAAUUAAGGGUUAUUGUGCAACAGAGGUCUUUUCAUUUGGUUCGGUACCACUGAAAACCUAUCUUCCUGACGGAGAUAUUGAUCUAACUGCCCUCAUCCAACAAAACAUGGAAGAGGAUUUGGCAAGAGAAGUCUGCAAUAUCCUCAAAUAUAAAGAGCAGGACCCCAAUUCUGAAGUAAAAAAUGUGCAAUAUAUUCAAGCAAAGGUUAAGAUAGUAAAAUGCUGCGUGAAGGAUAUAUCAGUUGACAUCUCUUUCAAUAAAUUGGCAGGGCUCUGCGCUCUUUGCUUUCUGGAGCAGGUUGACCAACUUAUUGGGAAAGAUCAUCUUCUCAAACAAAGUAUUAUUUUGAUCAAAGCCUGGUGCUUUUAUGAGAGCAGAAUUCUUGGCGCACACCAUGGCUUGAUCGGAACAUAUGCUUUAGAAAUAAUGGUCUUAUAUAUCAUCAAUAUCUUCCAUUCAUCACUACCCGGUCCUUUAGCAGUACUAUAUCGAUUUUUGGACUACUAUAGCACUUUCGAUUGGCAAAAUUAUUGUGUCAGCAUUAAUGGUCCUGUUGCAAUAUCAUCCCUUCCAGAAAUUGCUGCCAAGCCACGAGAUAAUAAUGGGAAUGAGUUAUUGAUCAAUCCAGAGUUCCUGGAGAACUGCAGAGAGACAUUUUCAAUUCCAAUAAAAGCAGUUGAAAAUGGGGGCCAUGAAUUUCCUAUUAAGCAUCUCAACAUAUUGGAUCCUUUAAAAGACGGUAACAACUUAGGGCGUAGUGUCAACAGAGGUACUUAAAUUAGUGAUACACACUGAAGCUAUAGUAGGUGACAAUAUAGAUUUAAAAAGCUUGUGCAUAGUAUCUGCAAAUAUGAAAGUUCCUGUAUGGGCAUGGGAGUUCUUACUCUUCUCCGGGACCUGCCACAAUUUUAAAAAAGAAAAUUUGAUGUUGUUUGUCAGACGAUACUUUACACAUCAACUACUAGGAACAGACAUUUUUAUAUCACUUUAUAGUCGCAAUAAAGAAAUAUUUGAAUAGCAAGAUGAAAAAACUGUAGAUAUUUUCUAUGUCUUGAAGACGUAAAAAUUUCUAAAGCUUUACUAUAUUUUCUAUACACAUACGCACACACUUAUGAGAGAGAAAAAGACAUAUUCACAAUUUUAGCCAUCUUUACCUGAAGAUAUGGAAUUAAAUUCUGAAUUCAUUUAUAUCUUAGGGAGAUGAAGACGAAAAGUCUUCCAUAGUUACUAGUGCUUGAAACUAUUUAGCUCAUAAUGAUCCAUCACUUGCCUUACAGGAAAUUUUCACCGUAUAAAAUAUGCCCUUUCCCAUGGGGCUCAAAGACUUGGGGAAAUCCUUACGCUGCCAGGAGAAAACAUGGGAGCAAGGCUGGAGAAAUUUUUUGUAAAUACUUUGGAUCGGAAUGGGAGGGGAGAAAGGCCAGAUAUACAAGUUCCUGUGCCUGCAUUUGGCACUGGAAGAUCUGAGGUGUCUGAUCUCACAGGACACUAUGACAAUGACUACAGUGGUCUACUACAGGGACAGUGGUAUCACAAUUAUUCAAUGCCUGUUUCUCCCCAGAUCAGUCCACCAUCAUCACCUUCACCUUCUCAAGUCCAACAGAGAAGUACCCGGGACAUACUGUCUCAGUUGCUGCAAUACAACCAAAAUGCUUUUUUUCAAAGAGGCAUAAAUGUAUUUGUCCCAAGAGUGCCGCUCUAUCACCCUUAUGCUUCAUACCUAUACGCCACUACUUCUGGUAUAGAUGAAAUGGUGAAGUCACGAGGAACAGGCACAUACAUACCUGAUGUGAGUAAUCAUCCUUGCAAAGAUUUGUUAUCAUGGAGGAGGGUCAGGAAUCCAGAUUCUUUAACUCGUAGUCCGGUAAAAUUGUCUCGAAAGGCUAAGGAAGUCGAAGUUGAAAAUGAUCCAAAGGCAGAUAAGAGCAAGAAUGUUUGUUGCCUUGAUCUUUCACUGGAUGAAUUCAAACCGCAGAGAGAAAAGGGUGAGAAUAGCAGCUCCAUGAAUCUUUCACUGGAUCAAUUCCCUCAUCUUCCCUACCUUAAGAAGUCAAUGUCAUCAGAAAUCGGUCAGUCCUGUCAGCCCAUCGUAAAGCCCUUGCAGGCCAGAGAAUGCUUUGCCUCCUUAAGAAGUAUCAACUUUGGGACUUACAGGCAUUCACAGUCACCAUUGUCAUUGCCUUCGUCAAUGGCAAGGAAGCAAGUGGAUUCUGGAGUUCCCAACACUUUGGAGAUAAUGCCAGCUAUCCCAAAAAUGGGAAAGCUGAAGCAACAAGAAUCCCUGGAGACAGAUAAGGUGCAGGGUCAGACAACAAAUACAUCCCCUUUAAGGUUGAGGAGAAAAGAGUUCGUAGAUAGAAGAUGGAGACAACAGUAGGACAGAAAGGUUGAUGCACUAUCCUGAAGUAGAUAGUUGCCUGCGUAGUAGUAAUUCUAAUACCUCUUACUCUGUGACUUGAAAAAUACUUUCGUUUUUGUUUCUCUCUCAAAGCAUAAUGCAUAAAGCAUUUGUAGAGGAUGAGUUUCAUCAACCUUUUCACCCCUUUUCGGGUGAUUUUGUAGAAUUAUACAGUAAAGAUGUUAAUAUGCAAUGUUCUUGAGUCCCUUUUCAGGAGAUAUUAUAGGAAAGACGUUUUACAUGCAAUUUUCUUGAGGAUUUUUCGUUCCCUGCCAAAACCCAG
rnacentral:misc_RNA from 1 species